AUAAGAUAUCAAGGGCAACAGGUGAAUGCCUUGGCGCUGAGAGGCGAUGAAAGACGCGGUAAGCUGCGAUAAGCAUCGGGGAGGAGCUAAACAUCCUACGAUCCGAUGAUUUCUGAAUGGGGAAACCCGAUGGGAGUCAUGUCCCAUCAUCCUGAGCUGAAUAUAUAGGCCCAGAGAAGCCAACCCGGGGAAGUGAAACAUCUCAGUACCCGGAGGAAGAGAAAUCAAACGAGACUCCCAAAGUAGCGGCGAGCGAAAUGGGAAGAGCCCAAACCGGGUGGUUUCGACCAUUCGGGGUUGUAGGGCCGGCAUACGCGAUUCUGGAGUAGGCAGAGGAAGUGAGCUGGAAAGCUCCGCCACAGCGGGUGAUAGCCCCGUACUCGAAACCGAAAAGGACGCAGCCGGUACCUGAGUACUGCGAGGCACGUGGAACCUCGUGGGAAUCUAGGGGGACCAUCCUCUAAGGCUAAGUACUCCUCAGCGACCGAUAGUGAACUAGUACCGUGAGGGAAAGGUGAAAAGAACCCCUGUUAGGGGAGUGAAAUAGAAUCUGAAACCUGUUGCCUACAAGCUGCGAGAGCUACUUCGGUAGUGAUCGCGUGCCUUUUGUAUAAUGAGUCAGCGAGUUACUCUACCGUGCGAGGUUAAGCGAAAGCGUAGCCGUAGUGAAAGCGAGGCUUAAUAGGCCGACUAGUACGUUGGAGUAGACCCGAAACCGGGUGAUCUAUCCAUGAGCAGGUUGAAGCAAGGGUAAAGCCUUGUGGAGGACCGAACCGUCAACGGCUGAAAACGUUCCGGAUGACUUGUGGAUAGGGGUGAAAGGUCAAUCAAACCCGGUGAUAGCUGGUUCUCCCCGAAAUAUAUUGAGGUAUAGCCUCGGGAAUUGAUUAGCGGAGGUAAAGCACUGACAGAGCUAGGGGUCCUACCAGAUUACCAAACUCUAUCAAACUCAGAAUGCCGCUUAAUCGUAUCCCGGGAGUCAGACGGCGGGUGCGAAGGUUCGUCGUCAAAAGGGAAACAGCCCAGACCAACAGCUAAGGUCUCCAAAUCCAUGCUCAGUGGUGAAGGUAGUGGAACCGUUUAGACAGCCAGGACGUUGGCUUAGAAGCAGCCAUCGUUUAAAGAAAGCGUAAUAGCUCACUGGUCUAAUGGCUCUGCGCCGAAAAUGUAACGGGGCUAAGCAUGGUACCGAAGCUUUGGCAAUCUCCUUUGGAGAUUGGGUAGGGGAGCGUUCGCUGCGGGCUGAAGGUGUGCCGGAAGGCAUGCUGGACUGCAGUGAAGUGAUUAUGCUGACAUGAGUAACGAUAAAAUAUGUGAAAAACAUAUUCGCCGAAAACCCGAGGUUUCCUGGGUAAAGGUAAUCUUCCCAGGGUUAGUCGGAUCCUAAGGUGAGGGUGAAAGCCGUAACCGAUGGAAAACAGGUUAAUAUUCCUGUACUUGUUGUGUAGCGCGAUGGAGGGACGCAGGAAGAUAGGCGGGCCGGGUGUUGGAUAUCCCGGUGCAAGCGUGUAGGAAUAUCCGGUAGGCAAAUCCGCCGGACGAAUCUGAGACGCGAGUCCGUGGGCGCAAGCCCUGAAGCCGUUGAGUCUAUGCUGCCUAGAAAAGCUCCUAAGUUUAUCCACAGCAAUCCGUACCGCAAACCAACUCAGGUGGGUGGGAUGAACAAUCCAAGGCGCUCGAGAGAACUCUGGCCAAGGAACUCGGCAAAAUAACCCCGUAACUUCGGAAGAAGGGGUGCUCUCUAGGGUGACAUGUUUAACAUAUGAAGCCCCGGGGAGCCGCAGUGAAUUGGUGGUGGCGACUGUUUACUAAAAACAUAGGUCUGUGCGAAGUCCUAAAGACGACGUAUACGGACUGACGCCUGCCCGGUGCUGGAAGGUUAAAAGGAGGGGUCAGCGCAAGCAAAGCUCCGAAUUGAAGCCCCAGUAAACGGCGGCCGUAACUAUAACGGUCCUAAGGUAGCGAAAUUCCUUGUCGGGUAAGUUCCGACCUGCACGAAUGG
rnacentral:rRNA from 1 species